GACGAACGCUGGCGGCGUGCCUAAUACAUGCAAGUCGAACGCAGUGGGGACGGGUGAGUAACACGUGGGUAACCUCCCAUCAGAGGGGAUAACACUUGGAAACAGGUGCUAAACCGAUAUUGAUGUAUCGACCCGCGGGGCAUUAGCUGGUUGGUGAGGUAACGGCUCACCAAGGCCACGAUGCAUAGACGAGCUGGGAGGGUGAGCGGCCACACGGGGACUGGGACACGGCACAGACGCCUACGGGAGGCAGCAGUAGGGAAUAUUCGGCAAUGGACGCAAGUCUGAUGGAGCAACGCCGCGUGAGUGAAGAAGGUUUUCGGGUAGUAAAGCUAUUUUGUUAGAGAAGCGGUACUUAACAAGAAAGCCACGGCUAACUACGUGCCAGCAGCCGCGGUAAUAG
rnacentral:rRNA from 1 species